rnacentral:rRNA from 1 species
CGAAAUGUUUUUAGGAACAGCGUUGCAUUAAUUAGAGUUUAUGAGAGGUAGAGCUACUGAUUGGGCUAGGGGGCUUCACCGCCUACCAAACCCUGACAAACUCCGAAUGCUCAUAAAUGCUAUGCAGCAGUGAGGCUGCGGGCGCUAAGGUCCGUGGCCGAGAGGGAAAUAACCCAGAAUAGCAGCUAAGGUCCCCAAUACAUGGUUAAGUUGGAAAAACGAGGUGGCGUUUCUAUAACAGCCAGGAUGUUGGCUUGGAAG